UGUCUUAGAAUGAAUAAAUUGAAUUUAAGUCCUGCAUAAAAACUUGCAGGUGCUCUUAAGGGACGAGAAGACCCUGUGGAUUUUUAUUUGUUAAAAAAUAAAUUUUAUAAUAUUUUAUUUUUUAUUCAAAUUUGGUUGGGAUGACAGUAAAAUUAACUUUAUUGAAAAGAUAUAGUAUAGAUCCUUUUUAAGGAAAAAAGAACAAAUUACCCCAGGGAUAACAGCGUAAUACUUUUGGACAGGACAAAUGGAUAAAAGUGUUUGCGACC
rnacentral:rRNA from 1 species